GCGCCUGACCUCACUGUUCUUUUUUGACUUCUUUUUUCUCCACUGAAGCUGGAGGCCUGCUCGUUCGCGGAAGAUAAGUCAAAAACGAACAGAAAGCCUCCCAAACGGGAGGCUUUUUUAUA
rfam:Vibrio proteolyticus NBRC 13287 DNA, contig: VPR01S09.